rnacentral:lncRNA from 1 species
GCGUCUCACGGAAGCCGGCUUUGGCCCUGCGGCUCCUGCCGUCGCCGCGGAGAAAUUGUUGAAGCUGGCAGCCUAGGAAUGACUCUCUUCUCAGCAUCCCAGCUCACUUGGUCAGAACCCUUGGAUGAGCCUGUGGGACCCUUCCUCCUCGCCGUGUGGUGUGGAACCAGUGGCUUUGGGACUGUGAGAGGAUGGACAAAGGUAGUAUGAGGCUGGGCCAGCUCCCCGAGCUCUCAGGCACCAGCAGCCACUGAUUGUACCCUGUGCCUUGCACGAGUGUCUCUCAGUCCUGGCUGGACAUUGCCACCUCCCCCUGGGCCAGCACCACCCAUGUACCUCUCGGCAGAGCCACAAGUGACUCUCUGGCAAGCUGCAUUUGAUGGCAGAGGGAGCAGUUAUGCCCAGAGCCUCA